rnacentral:pre_miRNA from 1 species
AACACAAUUGUUGGGUCAUAUGGUAAGAAUAUGUUUAGAUUUGUAAUAAAUUGUCAAACUGUCUUCCAAAGUAGCUGUACCAUUUUGUGCUUUCACUAGCAAU